rnacentral:rRNA from 1 species
GAUUGAGAGCUUGCUCUCAAGAAGUUAGCGGCGGACGGGUGAGUAACACGUGGGUAACCUGCCCAUAAGACUGGGAUAACUCCGGGAAACCGGGGCUAAUACCGGAUAACAUUUUGAACUGCAUGGUUCGAAAUUGAAAGGCGGCUUCGGCUGUCACUUAUGGAUGGACCCGCGUCGCAUUAGCUAGUUGGUGAGGUAACGGCUCACCAAGGCAACGAUGCGUAGCCGACCUGAGAGGGUGAUCGGCCACACUGGGACUGAGACACGGCCCAGACUCCUACGGGAGGCAGCAGUAGGGAAUCUUCCGCAAUGGACGAAAGUCUGACGGAGCAACGCCGCGUGAGUGAUGAAGGCUUUCGGGUCGUAAAACUCUGUUGUUAGGGAAGAACAAGUGCUAGUUGAAUAAGCUGGCACCUUGACGGUACCUAACCAGAAAGCCACGGCUAACUACGUGCCAGCAGCCGCGGUAAUACGUAGGUGGCAAGCGUUAUCCGGAAUUAUUGGGCGUAAAGCGCGCGCAGGUGGUUUCUUAAGUCUGAUGUGAAAGCCCACGGCUCAACCGUGGAGGGUCAUUGGAAACUGGGAGACUUGAGUGCAGAAGAGGAAAGUGGAAUUCCAUGUGUAGCGGUGAAAUGCGUAGAGAUAUGGAGGAACACCAGUGGCGAAGGCGACUUUCUGGUCUGUAACUGACAC